rnacentral:rRNA from 1 species
UUUAUUUGAUUUCUUCGGAAUGAAGAUUUUGUGACUGAGUGGCGGACGGGUGAGUAACGCGUGGGUAACCUGCCUCAUACAGGGGGAUAACAGUUAGAAAUGACUGCUAAUACCGCAUAAGACCACAGCACCGCAUGGUGCAGGGGUAAAAACUCCGGUGGUAUGAGAUGGACCCGCGUCUGAUUAGUUAGUUGGUGGGGUAACGGCCUACCAAGGCGACGAUCAGUAGCCGGCCUGAGAGGGCGGACGGCCACAUUGGGACUGAGACACGGUCCAGACUCC